CCAAAGCCAUCAUCAGCCAUCAUCGACAUCGACUUGUGACUUUCAAAGUUCCAUCAGCGCCGCUAAAUAUCCACCACGGAACUAACCAAGUAUUCACUGCGUGUGCCCGAACUGUUUGUUUGUUUGUUUUCAUCUUGUCCAUAAACAUCAGUUAACCUUGCGGACUUGCGGUUCUUCCGUGCGAAGAAUCUUCAAUCAUUAGCCAGUGCACAUUUUGCCAUAAACAUCAAAGGCAAUGGAAGAAUUUAUCGUUCCAUCGAUUUCCAAAUGAUCAAAAUUCGGCGUUAUGGGUUAAGAAUAUGGGGUUGAGAAAUUGGUGUCCCGGAAGAUAUAGUGUGUUCUGCUCUGAACACUUCACUGAAGAUUGUUUUUCUUAAACGAGACUUCAGAACUCAACUUCGAAAAGGGAGUAUGCCAUCGCUAUACAGUAUACCAACCACUAAGCUAAGUCAUUAAGGUAUAGGCGUUAGCAAUAUAUAGAGUUUCAUUUUAGUACUUAUUUGUACUGCUAAUACAGUAAUGAAUCUAUGUUUAGGUGUUCAGACAACCAGCUCCCUAUCGAUGCGAUUGUAGAUAAACCAAUGAGUGACACGAAUACUGAUACUCGUAACUUUCAGAAUCACUGGCCUUCACUAAAAACUCUGCAGCAUGUAAACUGAAACUCUUUCUGUGUAGAAAUCAUCACUCCUGCAAUGGGACUUGGGAAUAAUUCUCCUCCGCCUUGCCACUUAAAUGAUGUUGGAUCCUCGAGUCCAGUUUGGAAAUAAGACUUCAACAUACGCAAAAAUUCUUGCGUUCAGUCAGAGCUAGCAAUAAAUUUUUGAAGCAAAAAGUGAAGCGGCUGAAGACAACCGGACAUCUCUGUGGUCUGUUAAUUGAAGUUUGAAGAAUUUACAACUUAUUUCCGAUGAGGGCUUCUACUGCUUGUAUCCUUUCGAAGAUGCUCCACUUGAUCUCUUCAAUUGCAUGCUUAAAAAUAAACAAAAGGGGAAAACUUAGUCGUAAUCAAUAUCCCCCACAGUUGCGUAGUUUUGCCUUCACUCUCCACUUUUAUUCUCCCAAAGCAUAUGCUUAUGUCAGAAAAACUUUUCGUCUUACACGCCCACAUCCUAGUGUACUUGGAGCAUAGUAUUGAUGCAGAGCCUGGGUUUGUCACUGAAUGCUUCACUACUCUGGAAAUGAAAGUGGCAGAAGCAAAAAAACAUAACAAAGAAAUAUUGUGAUGGUUGAUGUUUGAUAGAAUGAGUAUCAAAAAAGGAUGCCAGAGGGGUGGAGAUGGAAAAAUGCCUGGACACAUAGGACAUCGGGAUAGGUAGUGACGGUGGUAGUGACGUUGCAGAAGCAACUCAGGGUCUUGUUAUGAUGGUAGUUAAUCUCGAUUCUAAUUGGAAAUUACUGAUUGCGUAUUUUUUGAUAAAAAGUUUGACCUGGUAAAAGAAACGCUCAUACGAUUGCAGAAAACAGGUGUCAAAAUUGUGUCCCUGAUUAUGAAUGGCCCAAUCGAACACUUUGCAAUGAUUCCGUUGUUCGGAGCAGACAUGUCCAUGUGAGAAGACGCCAGACCAUUUUUUUCACAUCCUAUAGUAGAUUAACCAGAAAUUAACGUAAUUUCUGACGCAUGUCACAUGCUAAGAAUCAUAAGAAAUUGUUUGGGGGAGUACAAAGUUUUACUUGAUGAGAAUAACGAAAAAAUCGAGUGGCGUUUCAUUGAGAAUCUGGCCAAAGUACAACAGAAAAAAGGUCUUUGUUUAGGGAACAAGCUUCGAGAACGUCACGUGGAUUAUAAGAAAAAUAAGUACAGGAAUUUCAAUUGAUACGUCUCAACCUCUAUCUUUUUUUCGACCAACAGUAUGUAUAAUCAAUUUUUAUUAACUACUUGAAGAUACUGAAGUUAACAUACAACAAUUUUGUAUCUUUUAUAAUAAUUGUCAAAAAAGUUUAUCAAAAAAUUGUUUUAACUUCUUCGAAUGAAGAGCGAAAAUCAUGGCUUCAAAGCAUCGAUGCCAUUCUAGAAGGUACUAAACCGCAAGUGGAAGGUUCUUCGAUAGAUGAGGACUACGAUUAUAAUAAAGCUGUAACCAGUGAUACCGUGCAGUCAUAUAUUGCUGGUUACAUAACUCGCAAAAUGCAUAAAAUUGUAAAAUGUUCGGAUUGCUUAACAACUAUACGUAUGAAUGCAAUAGAUGGUCAAUGACUACAAAGAAAUGACGUAAUCAAUAAAAUGAAUUUAUAUGGUGAAUUCAUAUAUCCUAGCUACGAGUUGUUCGAAUUGACCAAGGAAUUAGAAAAGUGUAUUUUGAGAGCUGUAGGCAAAGCUUUAACAAACGUUGAAACCCUAAGUCAAAUAACACGCGAACUUAACGAGGAAACUCUCAUUAAAGUUGGGUGCUUUCAGCAUGAAAGAGAGCUAACUGUUAAGAUAAUUGAUGUUUAUAUGGUGAUGCGGGCUCAUAUUUUGGCGAAGUCAGAGAAUAAACGCUAUGACGGAGCUGAGACAAAAACAAAAAUGUGCCGAAAAAUGCCAAAUUACAUACAUGAACGCUGUUUAAAAAAACUGUAUCUUAUAUCGUUAAAAAUAUAAACUUUUAUUCAUUUAUUGAUAUUUUAAUAUAUUGUAUUAUUGUAAUAUAAUAUUGUAAGACCCGCUUCGGUGACUUCUACAUUUGGAUAAUAAUUAUGAAACCUCUUUAUCAUUUUUUCACCGCGCCUCAUGCUCGGGUUUCGCGCUCACUUUGUCGUAAUGAAUUCUAUUCCUUUUUGAAGAAGAUUUCUUAUGCAAGAGCAAACCUAUGUUUGCUCUGUCAGUCUCGAAAUUUGAAGCAACAUUUGAUGUUCGCAUAGUUCAGAUCGAUCAAUCAAAGGCAAAUUUUGAGUAUUACUGAUCUUUCAUAUGUUAUUUAUAAAAUUGUGAAUAAUGCAGCACAUAACCGUUAUGAAUUUAAUCGUAAUUGUUUUUAUUACAUUCUAAUUUUUUUUAUUUAUUUAUCUUCUUUGAUAAUUUAUAAGUGAACAUUAUUUUC
rnacentral:lncRNA from 1 species